UACGUAGGGUGCAAGCGUUGUCCGGAAUUAUUGGGCGUAAAGAGCUCGUAGGCGGUUUGUCGCGUCGGUUGUGAAAACCCAAGGCUCAACCUUGGGCCUGCAAUCGAUACGGGCAGACUAGAGUACUGCAGGGGAGACUGGAAUUCCUGGUGUAGCGGUGGAAUGCGCAGAUAUCAGGAGGAACACCGGUGGCGAAGGCGGGUCUCUGGGCAGUUACUGACGCUGAGGAGCGAAAGCGUGGGGAGCGAACAGG
rnacentral:rRNA from 1 species